ensembl:snRNA U1 U1 spliceosomal RNA
AUACUUACCUGGCAGGGGAGAUGCCAUGAUCAUGAAGGUGGUUUUCCUAAGGCGAGGCUUAUCCAUUAUACUCUGGAUAUGCUGACCCCUGUGAUUUCCCCCAAAAGGGGAAACUGAACUGCAUAAUUUGUGGUAGUGGGGGACUGCGUUCAUGCUUUUCCCAG